GACGAAUGCUGGCUGCGUGCUUAACACAUGCAAGUCGAACGGUGAAGGAGAGCUUGCUCUCCGGAUCAGUGGCGAACGGGUGAGUAACACGUGGGCAACCUGCCCUCACUCUGGGAUAACGCCGGGAAACCGGCGCUAAUACCGGAUACGACCAGGCGCGACAUCUCGCCUGGUGGAAAGAAUUUCGGUGAGGGAUGGGCCCGCGGCCUAUCAGCUUGUUGGUGGGGUAACGGCCCACCAAGGCGACGACGGGUAGCCGGCCUGAGAGGGCGACCGGCCACACUGGGACUGAGACACGGCCCAGACUCCUACGGGAGGCAGCCGUAAGGAAUAUUGGUCAAUGGAGGCAACUCUGAACCAGCCAUGCCGCGUGAAGGAUGAAGGUCCUCUGGAUUGUAAACUUCUUUUACAGGGGAAGAAACCACUUUUUUCCAAGAGUGUUGACGGUACCCUGGGAAUAAGCACCGGCUAACUCCGUGCCAGCAGCCGCAGUAAGAC
rnacentral:rRNA from 1 species